rnacentral:rRNA from 1 species
ACGGGUGAGUAAUGUAUCGGAACGUACCUUUCAGUGGGGGAUAACGUAGCGAAAGUUACGCUAAUACCGCAUAUUCUGUGAGCAGGAAAGCAGGGGAUCGCAAGACCUUGCGCUGAUUGAGCGGCCGAUAUCAGAUUAGCUAGUUGGUGAGGUAAAGGCUCACCAAGGCGACGAUCUGUAGCGGGUCUGAGAGGAUGAUCCGCCACACUGGAACUGAGACACGGUCCAGACUCCUACGGGAGGCAGCAGUGGGGAAUUUUGGACAAUGGGGGCAACCCUGAUCCAGCCAUGCCGCGUGAGUGAAGAAGGCCUUCGGGUUGUAAAGCUCUUUCGGCCGGGAAGAAAUCGCAUGGGUUAAUACCCUGUGCGGAUGACGGUACCGGCAUAAGAAGCACCGGCUAACUACGUGCCAGCAGCCGCGGUAAUACGUAGGGUGCGAGCGUUAAUCGGAAUUACUGGGCGUAAAGCGUGCGCAGGCGGUUUUUUAAGACAGGCGUGAAAUCCCCGGGCUCAACCUGGGAACUGCGCUUGUGACUGGAAGGCUAGAGUACGGCAGAGGGGGGUGGAAUUCCACGUGUAGCAGUGAA